UGUGAUCGAUUGGGCUGCUUUAACCUCAGCAUCCGAGGGCAUGGGGAAUGCGUUGAAUAUGUCAAGAGCUUCAAUAUCCCUCUACUCGUGCUGGGUGGUGGUGGUUAUACUGUCCGAAAUGUUGCCCGCUGCUGGACAUAUGAGACAUCGCUGCUGGUAGAAGAGGCCAUUAGUGAGGAGCUUCCCUAUAGUGAAUACUUCGAGUACUUUGCCCCAGACUUCACACUUCAUCCAGAUGUCAGCACCCGCAUCGAGAAUCAGAACUCACGCCAGUAUCUGGACCAGAUCCGCCAGACAAUCUUUGAAAACCUGAAGAUGCUGAACCAUGCACCUAGUGUCCAGAUUCAUGACGUGCCUGCAGACCUCCUGACCUAUGACAGGACUGAUGAGGCUGAUGCAGAGGAGAGGGGUCCUGAGGAGAACUAUAGCAGGUCUGGGAGCAGGGACUUCAGCCUACUUUCAAUAGGCUUGCUGGGGAGGUUUAAAAGGGAAAAAGUAAAUGGGAAGGUAUUAGUUUAAUUGCCUCUGGCUUACCUCCUUUAGUCUGCUACAAUUUCCUCACUCUUUUCUUUGUUAUUUUUAAUGACAAAAGUAACACGUAUUUAUUGCAAAAUUUUAAAACAGCACCAAAAUAUGGUGUUGGCUUUCACACAAUCCCAGACCUAUUCCACAGGAGUAACCACUGUUAAUAGUUUUUAUUGUUUUGGAUAGACCUUUUUCUAUAGAUUGCAAAUAUACUGUUCUGUAUGUACAUAUAAACAAACACAUAUACACUCA
rnacentral:sRNA from 1 species